UGCGUGGUGUAGCGGUGAAAUGCUUAGAUAUCACGCAGAACCCCGAUUGCGAAGGCAGCCUGCCAAGCCAUUACUGACGCUGAUGCACGAAAGCGUGGGGAUCAAACAGGAUUAGAUACCCUGGUAGUCCACGCAGUAAACGAUGAUCACUAGCUGGUUGCGAUACACUGUAAGCGGCACAGCGAAAGCGUUAAGUGAUCCACCUGGGGAGUACGCCGGCAACGGUGAAACUCAAAGGAAUUGACGGGGGCCCGCACAAGCGGAGGAACAUGUGGUUUAAUUCGAUGAUACGCGAGGAACCUUACCCGGGUUUGAACGCAUUUUGACAGCUCUGGAAACAGAGCCUCUAGCAAUAGCGAUUUGCGAGGUGCUGCAUGGUUGUCGUCAGCUCGUGCCGUGAGGUGUCGGCUUAAGUGCCAUAACGAGCGCAACCCUUGCCACUAGUUACUAACAGGUAAAGCUGAGGACUCUGGUGGGACUGCCAGCGUAAGCUGCGAGGAAGGCGGGGAUGACGUCAAAUCAGCACGGCCCUUACAUCCGGGGCGACACACGUGUUACAAUGGCGUGGACAAAGGGAGGCCACCUGGCGACAGGGAGCGAAUCCCCAAACCACGUCUCAGUUCGGAUCGGAGUCUGCAACCCGACUCCGUGAAGCUGGAUUCGCUAGUAAUCGCGCAUCAGCCAUGGCGCGGUGAAUACGUUCCCGGGCCUUGUACACACCGCCCGUCAAGCCAUGGGAGCCGGGGGUACCAGAAGUCCGUAACCGAAAGGAUCGGCCUAGGGUAAAACUGGA
rnacentral:rRNA from 1 species